GAUGAACGCUGGCGGCGUGCUUAACACAUGCAAGUCGAACGAAGCACUUAAGAUUGAUUCUUCGGAUGACGUCUUUUGUGACUUAGUGGCAGACGGGUGAGUAACGCGUGUGUAACCUGCCUCACACAGGGGGAUAACAGUUAGAAAUGACUGCUAAUACCGCAUAACCCGAUAGGAUCGCAUGAUCCAGACGGAAAAGAUUUAUCGGUGUGAGAUGGACCCGCGUCUGAUUAGCUAGUUGGUGAGGUAACGGCCCACCAAGGCGACGAUCAGUAGCCGGCAUGAGAGGGUGAACGGCCACAUUGGGACUGAGACACGGUACAAACUCCUACGGGAGGCAGCAGUGGGGAAUAUUGCAAAAUGGGGGAAACCCUGAUGCAGCGACGCCGCGUGAGUGAAGAAGUAUUUCGGUAUGUAAAGCUCUAUCAGCAGGGAAGAAAAUGACGGUACCUGACUAAGAAGCCACGGCUAACUACGUG
rnacentral:rRNA from 1 species